AUGUACUCUGUCCGGAACUGGCAGCACGGUUUUAAGGCUUUGAACUGUCCUUGGCAGGAAGGCUGGGUUUCACCAGUUAUCUGUCCAUGUCUGCCUAGGAAUUUGUCUGUCUCCUGUGCUAUCACUAUUGGGAAUGUUAGCUACUCUCAGCUCACAGUUGCCCCUUUCCCUAGAAAAUCGACCUCUGCCAAUGAGAGUCAUCAUUGUCCAGUAGAGUAUACCUCUACCCCAAGAAACACCACAGCCAAUGACGACCUUAUUCUUACAUACAACAGCACCAGGAACCCACACUUGGAAUGGAGGAUGUAAUUUAAAGACUGUCUUAAAGCCAGUGAUGACAAGAUGGAGCAAAGGUAAGUUUAAAAUAACACAAAUUCUCCUACCAGGUUGCAAUUCCUUUUUUAUUGACUAAAUAUGUGCUUGGUAGCUGUAAAUCUUUCUGUGGUAUUUGGCUGGAGGAAACUGGUUAUGGUCUUAGUUUUGUGUCUUGACAGUCUGUUAUUUUCCUGAUCUUUUGGCUAAAGAAAGUAAAAGGCUGGUCUUUGGGCUUUUUUGUACAUAUGCACUAACAUUUCCAGGUCGGUGGCUACUCCUGAUUGUAUGAGGCAAAAGGAAACUCAUGGAACUCACUGCUUUAGCAUUGCUCAGGUCUUAAAUUUCUUAACCAGUUGGGCUUUUUCUCCUCACUUUUUAGAAUCUUUUAAUUUUUUAAUUUUAUGUAGAGAUUAUAAUGCUUUGAAUUAUACUUUUUCACUGGUAUGAAAGCAGCACACAAUCAGUCAAAGCUGGACUUUAUGUACAUAUCCAACUAUUCUGUUUUUCCCUUUUGGUACAAUAUUCAAUAAAUUACGUAAGAUAUUCAACACUUCAUUAUAGAAUAGGCUUUGUUAGGGAUGGUUUUGCCCAACCAUAGGCUAAUGUAAGUGUUCUGAGCACAUCUAAGAUAGGCUAGGCUAAGUUAUGUUGUUCAGCAUACUGCAUAUAUUAAAUGUACUUUUUACUUACAGUAUUUUCAACUUAUAAUGCAGUCCCAUUAUAAGUCAAGGAACAUCUGUAAUAUCCAGAAUCAUUAGCUGUAUGUAACAAGAUGAAUGGAAAAAAGUACACCUUCUCUAACUUUCUAGAAGUGGAAGGCAUGAUGCUUCUUUUUUUCUCCUAACAGCAACCUUAGAACAGCUUGGUAGGUAUACUCUCCUGGUAGCAACAUGGUCAGAAUGGUGUUAAAACUGAAUUCUGGUUCAGCCACCUGGAUUAUUUUGUUGGAUAAACAUGGUCAUAUAUUAUGAGGUUAACUAUCAUUAAUUUGAGUGUUCUGCUCUAUGAAUUAUUGUACAAUGGUCCACAAGGACCCAGGUGAUAAAUAAAAUGGGUAUAUAUAAAAGUCAUAAAAUACCUUUUUCCUCUAAUUAUUGUUCUAGACAAAAGGUUUGAGUAUGACUAGGAAUUGACCACAAAAAAAGGCAAACUUAACUACUAGAAUGGGAUGAACAAAUUUUGUGAUUGUGGAUAAAAAGAGCAACUGCACUGGCACCUAGGAAUGGACAAUCUUGGACCAUUGGAGGUGAAGAGGGUGAGGAUUU
rnacentral:lncRNA from 1 species